rnacentral:rRNA from 1 species
AUGAACGCUGGCGGCGUGCUUCACACAUGCAAGUCGAACGGAAAGGCCCAAGCUUGCUUGGGUACUCGAGUGGCGAACGGGUGAGUAACACGUGGGUGAUCUGCCCUGCACUUCGGGAUAAGCCUGGGAAACUGGGUCUAAUACCGGAUAGGACCACAUUUUGGAUGGUGUGGUGGAAAGUUUUUCGGUGUGGGAUGAGCUCGCGGCCUAUCAGCUUGUUGGUGGGGUAAUGGCCUACCAAGGCGUCGACGGGUAGCCGGCCUGAGAGGGUGUACGGCCACAUUGGGACUGAGAUACGGCCCAGACUCCUACGGGAGGCAGCAGUGGGGAAUAUUGCACAAUGGGCGCAAGCCUGAUGCAGCGACGCCGCGUGGGGGAUGACGGCCUUCGGGUUGUAAACUCCUUUCGCUAGGGACGAAGCGUUUUUGUGACGGUACCUGGAGAAGAAGCACCGGCUAACUACGUG